UCCUUAUCAAGAGCGAUGGAGGGAAUAGGCCCUAUGAAGUCCAGCAACCGGUUUUACACGGUGCUAAAUCCUACAGAUAUGAUAAAUAUCUGGAAGAUGAGGU
rnacentral:ncRNA from 2 species